UAAAACAGACUAUAACUAUCGUAUGAAAAAUUGCCCAUGAUUUUUCUUCUAUUGUCAAAUCUACAGUGUUUUUCUUUUCUCUCUCACACGAAACCCUCUCCCUCCCUUUCCCUCAGAUUUCUCACUUCCUUUUCUCCUUUCCAUUUCUCACCUUCUCCCCCUCUCUUCAUCUCUUCUCUACCCCUUUUUUGGUUUUCCUUACUCUUACGAAUCAAAACCCGCAACUUUGGACGUCGUUGGAGGGCUUUCGUCGCUACCCACCAUAACUGACGAGGGGUGACCACUGGUAGCAAGGUGUAUUAGGUCCAAUUCAUAGUACCUGAAAGCACACUUUACUCAAAUUGGGAGGAGGUGUUAGUAGUAGGCAUGAUCGGUCCAGGGGCUGUAGAAAUAUUAGUGAAGGAUUUGAAAGUCUUUGACACAUUUAAUACUUGGUUGCAUUAUGAAUAUGUUGAAGACAAAUUAUAGAAGACAAAGCUAAGCAGCAAUUUUAUAUAUCUACAAGCAGCAAGGGAAUAUGUUGGAACAAAUGGUGGGCACAUAGGUUUGGAGCUGUUAUGAGCUUAAUUUAUUUGAGGAUGACUUAUAUUUUAACAGUCACAAGCAUUAUAAACAAAAAACGGUCACAAGUAAAACAUAGAAUAAAAGGAAUAUUGAUUCUGUUUGCGUUUUGUUUUGGAUACUGGCUUGACUAGAUAUGUUUUCCUGGUCCGAUGGAAAUUUUUGGAUCGUUGGUUGAUUUGAAGUUAGUAAUAUGCUGAAGCAGGAAGCUACAAGAGGUCUGCAUUUCACGAUAAUAUUUCUUUAUGUACAAGUUGUUUUCUAUUGUUUACUCAGAUUUUUGUACUCUCGCAUCUGUACUCUGGCUUGGUUUUUUGCACUUGUGCUAAAACUGAGUUUGUCUUUAAUAAAUACAUUCAUUUUGCAUUUUAAUAAAUAAAAAAAUCUUUUGUCUCUUGCUAUU